GGCUGCCAUUUGUGUUUAUUUUAGCAGGGCUUGGAUAUCAAAUUAUAUAAAUUUUGUUUGGUAUUUGUGCAACGUACGGAAUAAAUACUGGCUAUUAUUUUUCAACAAUUUGUUUAGAAUAUAUUUAGAUGAUAGUGGAUAUAUUUUUUAGCAGCGGAAAGUGUUGUUAAAAGUAUCUACAACGUUUGGAAAGUCACCAGUGAGCUAACAGUAAGGUUAGGUCAGAGGGCAGCUACAUCUGGAUGUGAGAGAGUGUCUCAGCCUGGCUCGAGGACUUCUCUGGAAAGCAGAUGCUUCCGUUUGUGGUUGCUUGAGCUCAUGCUCAUGUGCUCGACUGCUGUCCUCAAUGUACAAACCCUUCAUGCAACGCCCUGAUGACAAAGAGAAGGAGAGCUGGGCGCAGCUUCUGGAAUUGACUGUGAAAUUAACAGGAGGCACGUUAUUCCAGCAUGCUGCUUAACCAGUGUGAAAAACAGAUAGUGACAACGAUAACGAAGCAGACCCUCUCAUCUUGUCUCGGUGGGCCAACCUCCCAGCAGCUAUUUGUCACAAGCAGAUGUUUCAGAGAACCAUGACCUCCAAGUGUGGUUGCUGGGGAAUGGAAGCUUGGCGCCAGUUCUGAUUGGAAACCUGCAGAGCAGAGAGGGCAUGGUCAAGGUUUUAAUGAAGGUUUUGAGGCUGGAGCUGAUGACGAGUCUAUUUCCCUGGACUUGAUUCAGCUGUUUCUCCAUCUGGCGUUGCAGCACCUGGGUCUCUUUCUUCAGAUGGCCAUCACCUUCCGUCGUGGAGGGGUUUCCAUGGUGACCACAUCCCUUUCCGGGCAGAUUGUUUGCAUGGGAUCAGGGUUGACGAUGCGCUGUAGGACC